rnacentral:rRNA from 1 species
AUUGAACGCUGGCGGCAGGCUUAACACAUGCAAGUCGAGCGGGGGAGGUUACUUCGGUAACUGACCUAGCGGCGGACGGGUGAGUAAUGCUUAGGAAUCUGCCUAUUAGUGGGGGACAACAUUCCGAAAGGAAUGCUAAUACCGCAUACGCCCUACGGGGGAAAGCAGGGGAUCUUCGGACCUUGCGCUAAUAGAUGAGCCUAAGUCGGAUUAGCUAGUUGGUGGGGUAAAGGCCUACCAAGGCGACGAUCUGUAGCGGGUCUGAGAGGAUGAUCCGCCACACUGGGACUGAGACACGGCCCAGACUCCUACGGGAGGCAGCAGUGGGGAAUAUUGGACAAUGGGCGGAAGCCUGAUCCAGCCAUGCCGCGUGUGUGAAGAAGGCCUUUUGGUUGUAAAGCACUUUAAGCGAGGAGGAGGCUCCUUUAGUUAAUACCUAAAGAGAGUGGACGUUACUCGCAGAAUAAGCACCGGCUAACUCUGUGCCAGCAGCCGCAGUAA